GGUCGGUGUCUAAUACAUGCAAGUCGAGCGAAUGGAUUAAGAGCUUGCUCUUAUGAAGUUAGCGGCGGACGGGUGAGUAACACGUGGGUAACCUGCCCAUAAGACUGGGAUAACUCCGGGAAACCGGGGCUAAUACCGGAUAACAUUUUGAACCGCAUGGUUCGAAAUUGAAAGGCGGCUUCGGCUGUCACUUAUGGAUGGACCCGCGUCGCAUUAGCUAGUUGGUGAGGUAACGGCUCACCAAGGCAACGAUGCGUAGCCGACCUGAGAGGGUGAUCGGCCACACUGGGACUGAGACACGGCCCAGACUCCUACGGGAGGCAGCAGUAGGGAAUCUUCCGCAAUGGACGAAAGUCUGACGGAGCAACGCCGCGUGAGUGAUGAAGGCUUUCGGGUCGUA
rnacentral:rRNA from 1 species